rnacentral:sRNA from 1 species
AAAGUGUGAUUCCUCUCUGUUGGAGACAAGACAUCCCUCCUGACCAGACUUCCCGAUGUUAUUCCUUACUAUGUGGGUCCCAGCGCCCACAUCUGCUGGAUUGGUGCUUCGUCAAGAGUACCUGCGGGCUACUCCGUGAGCUCCGGAAACCAGCCUUCAUUGCUCAAAUGAUCUUUGGCAUGCAUGUAUCCUGAGAUUGCCGACAGGUUUCGUCAAAGUCUUCCAGUCAGCGAUUAUUUUUUGCCGAAGACCGUCGUGUCGCGUCCCUCCAACCUCAAGAUUUCUCUCCAGGUAACACAUUGAUUAUAUGGCAUACUGCCACGUCGAGAAAGUCUGGAAUCCGACGCAGAACGUAUCUGCCGCUGGAGAAAGCCUCCUGCUUAUUUCAUUGAAUGCUUAACACCUUAUGAGUGAUUUCGGCAUCAUGACUGAUCCCGAUGGGAUCUUUUCACGCUGCGAACUGGAUAUUCGCAGCGGGAUUUAUCCGUUACUGAGACAGAUCUGGACGAUAAAGGCACCGUGAAUUAAUUUGUGAGAGUAAUUUCAUGAGGAACUUUGCCGAUUAUUUCACCCUAUUUUGCUCAGAUCGGGCACAUCUGUGCUGACGCCUACAGUUAUUAUUACGAGUUGACCAUUCCAUUUAUACCUCUGCCCACACAGUUACCGAACUUCCAUAUACUCGGUCAAUUCUAGAGGUUCGAUUCGGUUUCUCGUGUCCCCCAAAAAAGUAAAGAAAAAGAAAAUCACAAAUUUCCGCUCGCCUAGGUCCUCGGGAUGAAAAGGUAAGCGACUAUGAUUAGCUGAAGGAUAUAUGCUGCUACAUAGAUGAGGAAUGCCGCACCCAUGGCCCUCUUCUGGAGAUCCCUAGCUAUCCAACCUUGGAUAUGUUGUCCCCUUAGCCCACGCCAUUUAUGUAACCUAGGUCCAAUCGCCAACACUUUGCAUUGAUUCACUACUAAACUAAAAUAAGAAGGGAAGGAAAAGAGGAACCCCUCCCAGGAUAACAGUUAAAACAGAGGCAAGUAGUUUAUCGUUGUGACUGGUCCAUGCCCUUCCAUGAUGGACUGGCGCCGAGAAUUGAAUCUCUUGUGGGAUAUCCUUGUUAUCAGACCAUUGGUCCGGAAGUGCUCUCUGCGGGUGGUGUAAAUUGGGAUUCCCCAAAGUGCUUUGUAUCCUGUACCGAGCCUCAACCGAGGAGCAUAAGCUUCCAUCCAGUACUUCAUAAACAUU